rnacentral:rRNA from 1 species
GAGUUUGAUCGUGGCUCAGAUUGAACGCUGGCGGCAGGCCUAACACAUGCAAGUCGAGCGGAUGACGGGAGCUUGCUCCUUGAUUCAGCGGCGGACGGGUGAGUAAUGCCUGGGAAUCUGCCUGGUAGUGGGGGACAACGUUUCGAAAGGAACGCUAAUACCGCAUACGUCCUACGGGAGAAAGCAGGGGACCUUCGGGCCUUGCGCUAUCAGAUGAGCCUAGGUCAGAUUAGCUAGUUGGUGGGGUAAUGGCUCACCAAGGCGACGAUCCGUAACUGGUCUGAGAGGAUGAUCAGUCACACUGGAACUGAGACACGGUCCAGACUCCUACGGGGAGCAGCAGGUAGGGGAAUUAGUUGGAACAAGU